rnacentral:rRNA from 1 species
GACAGAGGUGCCGAGCGUUAGGCGGAAUCACUGGGCUUAAAGCGUGUGUAGGCGGGUCGUUAAGUGUCUUGUGAAAUCCCCCGGCUCAACCGGGGAAUGGCUGGGCAUACUGGCGAUCUUGAGCAGUCUAGGGGCAGAUGGAACAAGUGGUGGAGCGGUGAAAUGCGUAGAUAUCACUUGGAACGCCAAAGGUGAAGACAGUCUGCUGGGGACUUGCUGACGCUGAGACACGAAAGCCAGGGGAGCGAACGGG